CAAGUACACUCUGAGACAGACUGCAUUCAUUAUACCUUUUUUGUUGUGUUGUUUGUCUAUUUGGGGUCAAGCCCCUCUGAGAUACCUGGAAUCUCGCUUCGGUACAUUAGUCCCUGUUGGGCACCUGUUGUUUCCUCUCUCCCCUCCUUUUUUCCAUCCUGGGGAGAGUAUACACAGGUGGACACACAGGGACAUAGAACCUUGUGUUCUCUCUCCUUUUUUCUU